rnacentral:rRNA from 1 species
UACGUAGGGUCCGAGCGUUGUCCGGAAUUAUUGGGCGUAAAGGGCGCGUAGGCGGCCUUCUAAGUCGAACGUGAAAUCCCUGGGCUCAACCCAGGAACUGCGUCCGAUACUGGAAGGCUUGAAUCCGGGAGAGGGAUGCGGAAUUCCAGGUGUAGCGGUGAAAUGCGUAGAUAUCGGGAGGAACACCAGUGGCGAAGGCGACUUCCUGGCCUGUUCUUGACGCUGAGGCGCGAAAGCUAGGGUAGCAAACGGG